AGAUGGCUAACCUUGACCUAUUUUAAGGUGUCAAAAGGUCACAUUCCGUUUCCUUUUUUUGUGCUCAUACAGCCCAGGAUAUUUUAGCAUUGCGUUAUAUUUAUAAAUU